rnacentral:rRNA from 1 species
AACGAACGCUGGCGGCGCGCCUAAUACAUGCAAGUCGAGCGAGAAGACGUAGCAAUACGUUUGUAAAGCGGCGAACGGGUGAGGAAUACAUGGGUAACCUACCCUCGAGUGGGGAAUAACUAGCCGAAAGGUUAGCUAAUACCGCGUACGCUCCUUGGACUUCGGUUCAGGGAGGAAAGCGAUACCGUGGGUAUCGCGCUCUUGGAUGGGCUCAUGUCCUAUCAGCUUGUUGGCGGGGAAGAGCCCACCAAGGCGACGAUCGGUAGCUGGUCUGAGAGGAUGAUCAGCCACACUGGGACUGAGACACGGCCCAGACUCCUACGGGAGGCAGCAGUGGGGAAUUUUGGACAAUGGGGGCAACCCUGAUCCAGCCAUGCCGCGUGCGGGAAGAAGGCCU